AUUGAACGCUGGCCGCAGGCCUAACACAUGCAAGUCGAGCGGGGUUUUCGGACCUAGCGGCGGACGGGUGAGUAAUGCGUAGGAAGCUACCCGAUAGAGGGGGAUACCAGUUGGAAACGACUGUUAAUACCGCAUAAUGUCUACGUACCAAAGUGUGGGACCUUCGGGCCACAUGCUAUCGGAUGCGCCUACGUGGGAUUAGCUAGUUGGUGAGGUAAUGGCUCAACAAGGCGACGAUCUCUAGCUGGUUUGAGAGGAUGAUCAGGCACACUGGAACUGAGACACGAUCCAGACUCCUACGGGAGGCAGCAGUGGGGAAUAUUGGACAAUGGGCGCAAGCCUGAUCCAGCCAUGCCGCGUGUGUGAAGAAGGCCUUCGGGUUGUAAAGCACUUUCAGCGAGGAGGAAGGGUUGUGUGUUAAUAGUACACAGCCUUGACGUUACUCGCAGAAGAAGCACCGGCUAACUCUGUGCCAGCCGCCGCGGUAACAC
rnacentral:rRNA from 1 species